GGGGCUGAAAUAGCUUCGACGAGAGGACGUUAACAGGUCAUAUUGCAAGCCGAUUUACACGCGCAACGUGUCUUUUUAUCUGCAAACGUAUUUGCAAAAGUCAAGGAAAUGGUUAUGCCACGUUCCUUGGCACCAGCUUUCGCUUAAUCGCGAUUGCCAUCGAUUCGCCUAGUGAGGCGGAAGGCGAGCGGUGUUAUACAAGAGUCUCUCACCCCUGAUGAGCGCAGCGACUAGUUAGGGGAAAAAUAUAUCGCGAGUCCAACAGGUCGUUUUCGUCUAGUUUCGAGAUCUGAAGGACAUAAAUUUUAAGCUAGACUAUGCUUGUAGAAGUAUGACAGGUUACCUUUUGGACCCGGGGGCAGUACCCGGCAGCUCCACCA
rnacentral:tmRNA from 1 species